GAAGCCCGCCAGACUGCCGCUGGUGCAAUUCUGGAAACAGAGCACUGGAGGAACGUCCGGACUGCAUAGGGCAGCGUAGCAGCUAACGGCUGUCCACUGAAAGCCUUUGGCGCAAGCCAGGGGUAUAAGGUGAGGAUCAGAGCAACAGAGACGAGCCGAUUAAGUUCGGGUGAAACGGGCAAUCUCUACGCGCAGCAAUACCAAGUAGGCCAACGUUGACGGGGCCCCCGGAGUUGGCGGGUAGGUAGCACCGAGCUGUUGGGUGACCAACAGCCCAGAUUAAUGGCAGUCACACCCGGGGCAACCCGGGUGCACAGAAUCCGGCUUAUCGGCGGGCUUCACAC
rnacentral:RNase_P_RNA from 1 species